rnacentral:rRNA from 1 species
UGCAAGUCGAACGGUGAAGCAGAGCUUGCUCUGUGGAUCAGUGGCGAACGGGUGAGUAACACGUGAGCAAUCUGCCCCUGACUCUGGGAUAAGCGCUGGAAACGGCGUCUAAUACCGGAUACGAGCUGCGAAGGCAUCUUCAGCAGUUGGAAAGAAUUUCGGUCAGGGAUGAGCUCGCGGCCUAUCAGCUUGUUGGUGAGGUAAUGGCUCACCAAGGCGUCGACGGGUAGCCGGCCUGAGAGGGUGACCGGCCACACUGGGACUGAGACACGGCCCAGACUCCUACGGGAGGCAGCAGUGGGGAAUAUUGCACAAUGGGCGCAAGCCUGAUGCAGCAACGCCGCGUGAGGGAUGACGGCCUUCGGGUUGUAAACCUCUUUUAGCAAGGAAGAAGCGAAAGUGACGGUACUUGCAGAAAAAGCGCCGGCUAACUACGUGCCAGCAGCCGCGGUAAUACGUAGGGCGCAAGCGUUAUCCGGAAUUAUUGGGCGUAAAGAGCUCGUAGGCGGUUUGUCGCGUCUGCUGUGAAAACUGGAGGCUCAACCUCCAGCCUGCAGUGGGUACGGGCAGACUAGAGUGCGGUAGGGGAGAUUGGAAUUCCUGGUGUAGCGGUGGAAUGCGCAGAUAUCAGGAGGAACACCGAUGGCGAAGGCAGAUCUCUGGGCCGUAACUGACGCUGAGGAGCGAAAGGGUGGGGAGCAAACAGGCUUAGAUACCCUGGUAGUCC